CCGGGACAGAUGGGAGCUUGCUCCCUGAUGUUAGCGGCGGACGGGUGAGUAACACGUGGGUAACCUGCCUGUAAGACUGGGAUAACUCCGGGAAACCGGGGCUAAUACCGGAUGGUUGUUUGAACCGCAUGGUUCAAACAUAAAAGGUGGCUUCGGCUACCACUUACAGAUGGACCCGCGGCGCAUUAGCUAGUUGGUGAGGUAACGGCUCACCAAGGCGACGAUGCGUAGCCGACCUGAGAGGGUGAUCGGCCACACUGGGACUGAGACACGGCCCAGACUCCUACGGGAGGCAGCAGUAGGGAAUCUUCCGCAAUGGACGAAAGUCUGACGGAGCAACGCCGCGUGAGUGAUGAAGGUUUUCGGAUCGUAAAGCUCUGUUGUUAGGGAAGAACAAGUACCGUUCGAAUAGGGCGGUACCUUGACGGUACCUAACCAGAAAGCCACGGCUAACUACGUGCCAGCAGCCGCGGUAAUACGUAGGUGGCAAGCGUUGUCCGGAAUUAUUGGGCGUAAAGGGCUCGCAGGCGGUUUCUUAAGUCUGAUGUGAAAGC
rnacentral:rRNA from 1 species